rnacentral:lncRNA from 1 species
UGACGUUCCCACUGGCCACUCUGACCCCUGAUGGUUGUCAUUACUCUCCUUCCUCUUCUCCUCUGGGUCAGUCAUUUCCCUUCAUGAUACUUGCAAGAGGCUCAGUUCAAGACAGAAGUGGUGGGGGGCAAGAAUUUCUGGGCUUUCCUAGAUAUUCCUGUGCAGGAAAAAAGUCCUCUCCGGGGUGAUGCCCAGCCCCCACCUCUACUGCCAGCAACCACCCCCCCCCCAGGACCCUGGAGAGGAAGCAAGGGGAUGAGAAGGCAGUGGGGGGAGGGAGAGGCUGGGGUUGCCGUGGGAACAGUGACAGGUACUGUUCCCCAGCAAGGACAGGAGACAUGACUACAGGCAGUGAGUUUUCCAUGAAUUCUCUCCCUUAAUCCUCACAACUGUCUAUGAGGGGCAUGCUUCCCAUUUCCAACGGAGGUAGACUUGAUGAAAAAAAAAUAGGGUGCAGAUCACAACACCACAUGAAUGAUAGAAAGCAGAGCAUGUGGACACAGGGUUUUGUGUUGUCAAGAGACACCUACAACAGAAACGAUCUAUCACGUCAGCAACGAGCAAAAGAGCCACUGCGCACCUGUGAUUGGACAUAAAUAGUAAAGAGUGCUCAUAAAC